UACGUAGGGGGCAAGCGUUGUCCGGAAUUAUUGGGCGUAAAGCGCGUGUAGGCGGUCCGAUAAGUCGGUUGUGAAAGUCCAGGGCUCAACUCUGGAAUGCCGGCCGAUACUGUCGGACUAGAGUCCGGAAGAGGCAAGUGGAAUUCCCGGUGUAGCGGUGAAAUGCGCAGAUAUCAGGAAGAACACCAAUGGCGAAGGCAGCUCUCUGGGACGGUACUGACGCUGAGACGCGAAAGCGUGGGGAGCGAACAGG
rnacentral:rRNA from 1 species